rnacentral:rRNA from 1 species
UGCCUUAGUAACGGCGAGUGAAGCGGCAAAAGCUCAAAUUUGAAAUCUGGUACCUUCGGUGCCCGAGUUGUAAUUUGGAGAGGGCAACUUUGGGGCCGUUCCUYGUCUAUGUUCCUUGGAACAGGACGUCAUAGAGGGUGAGAAUCCCGUGUGGCGAGGAGUGCGGUUCUUUGUAAAGUGCCUUCGAAGAGUCGAGUUGUUUGGGAAUGCAGCUCUAAGUGGGUGGUAAAUUCCAUCUAAAGCUAAAUAUUGGCGAGAGACCGAUAGCGAACAAGUACAGUGAUGGAAAGAUGAAAAGAACUUUGAAAAGAGAGUGAAAAAGUACGUGAAAUUGUUGAAAGGGAAGGGCAUUUGAUCAGACAUGGUGUUUUGUGCCCUCUGCUCCUUGUGGGUAGGGGAAUCUCGCAUUUCACUGGGCCAGCAUCAGUUUUGGUGGCAGGAUAAAUCCAUAGGAAUGUAGCUUGCCUCGGUAAGUAUUAUAGCCUGUGGGAAUACUGCCAGCUGGGACUGAGGACUGCGACGUAAGUCAAGGAUGCUGGCAUAA